rnacentral:rRNA from 1 species
GACGAACGCUGGCGGCGUGCUUAACACAUGCAAGUCGAGCGGUAAGGCCCUUUUGGGGGUACACGAGCGGCGAACGGGUGAGUAACACGUGGGUGACCUGCCCUCAGCUCUGGGAUAAGCCUGGGAAACUGGGUCUAAUACUGGAUAUGACCUUUCCUCGCAUGGGGUUGGGUGGAAAGUUUUUCGGCUGGGGAUGGGCCCGCGGCCUAUCAGCUUGUUGGUGGGGUGAUGGCCUACCAAGGCGACGACGGGUAGCCGGCCUGAGAGGGCGACCGGCCACACUGGGACUGAGACACGGCCCAGACUCCUACGGGAGGCAGCAGUGGGGAAUAUUGCGCAAUGGGCGGAAGCCUGACGCAGCGACGCCGCGU